AUUGCACGCUGGCGGCAGGCCUAACACAUGCAAGUCGAACGAGUGGCGAACGGGUGAGUAAUGUCUGGGAAACUGCAUGAUGGAGGGGGAUAACUACUGAAAACGGUAGCUAAUACCGCAUACCCUCAAAUGUGCACAGAUGGGAUUAGCUUGUUGGUGGGGUAAAGGCUCACCAAGGCGACGAUCCCUAGCUGGUCUGAGAUGAUGACCAUCCACACUGGAACUUAGACACGGUCCAGACUCCUACGUGAGGGAGCAGUGGGGAAUAUUGCACAAUGGGCGCAAGCCUGAUGCAGCCAUGCCGCGUGUAUUAAGAAGGCCUUCGGGUUGUAAAGUACUUUCAGCGGGGAGGCGUUACCCGCAGAAGAAGCACCGGCUAACUCCGUGCCAGCAGCCGCGGUAAUUC
rnacentral:rRNA from 1 species